rnacentral:rRNA from 1 species
AGCGAACGUUAGCGGCGUGCCUAACACAUGCAAGUCGAACGAUGAUGGAUGAGCUUGCUCAUCCUGAUUAGUGGCGCACGGGUGAGUAUACCAUAGAUAAUGUACCCCUUAGUUCGGGAUAGCCACUGGAAACGGUGAUUAAUACCGGAUACUCCCUCUUGCCAUAAGGUAAGUCGGGAAAGUUUUUUCGCUAAGGGAUCAGUCUAUGUCCUAUCAGGUAGUUGGUGAGGUAACGGCUCACCAAGCCUAUGACGGGUAUCUGGUUUGAGAGGAUGAUCAGACACACUGGAACUGAGACACGGUCCAGACUCCUACGGGAGGCAGCAGUGAGGAAUAUUGCACAAUGGAGGAAACUCUGAUGCAGCAACGCCGCGUGGAGGAUGACGCAUUUCGGUGUGUAAACUCCUUUUAAGAGGGAAGAUUAUGACGGUACCUCUUGAAUAAGCACCGGCUAACCCCGUGCCAGCCGCCGCCGUAAUAC